rnacentral:misc_RNA from 1 species
GAUGAAGAACGUAGCGAAAUGCGAUAAGUAAUGUGAAUUGCAGAAUUCAGUGAAUCAUCGAAUCUUUGAACGCACAUUGCGCCCGCCAGUAUUCUGGCGGGCAUGCCUGUUCGAGCGUCAUUUCAACCCUCAGGCCCCCAGUGCCUGGUGUUGGGGAUCGGCCCAGCCUUCCUGUAAGGCCGCCGGCCCCGAAAUCAAGUGGCGGUCUCGCUGUAGUCCUCCUCUGCGUAGUAGCACAACCUCGCAGUUGGAACGCGGCGGUGGCCAUGCCGUUAAACACCCCACUUCUGAAAGUUGACCUCGGAUCAGGUAGGAAUACCCGCUGAACUUAAGCAUAUCAAUAAGCGGAGGA